GGCUUCUUAGCUCAGUCGGUAGAGCAAUGGACUGAAAAUCCAUGUGUCGCUGGUUCAAUUCCAGCAGGAGCCACCA
rnacentral:tRNA from 1 species